rnacentral:rRNA from 1 species
GUAGUCUCGCACAGAUGCAUAUCAAUAAGCGGAGGAAAAGAAACUAACUAGGAUUCCCUCAGUAACGGCGAGUGAAGCGGGAAGAGCUCAAAUUUGAAAUCUUCAAGGUUCUACCUUGACGAAUUGUAGUUUAAAGAAGUGUUUUCUGUUGGAGUUUUGGUAAAAGUUCUUUGGAAUAGGACAUCAUAGAGGGUGAGAAUCCCGUAUUUGACCAUUAUUUCCAGCUUUGUGAUACACUUUCAAAGAGUCGGAUUGUUUGGGAAUGCAGUCCAAAAUGGGUGGUAAAUUUCAUCUAAAGCUAAAUACUGGCGAGAGACCGAUAGCGAACAAGUACCGUGAGGGAAAGAUGAAAGGAACUUUGAAAAGAGAGUUAAACAGUACGUGAAAUUGUCAAAAGGGAAGCGUUUGACACCAGUGUUGUUUUCUCGAAAAUCAAUUAACGAAGGGAUUUUGUUUUUGAAGAGUUAUGACUUUCAUCAGGCUUGCACUUCUUUUCUUUACGUACUUUUCUUAAUGCACUUUUCGUUUAACAAGUCAACAUCAAUUUCUUUUGUUGUAAAAGGGUCAUGAGGAAGGUGGCUUUCUUUUCGGAGAAAGUGUUUAUAGCCUUUGGCCUCUGCAAUCGGAGAGAUUGAGGUCUGCAGCGUAGAUCCUUCGGGGUUAGAUACAUUUGUGCUAAGUUAUAGCCUUUUCAUAGACAACUUGUUGACUAUGAUCAGUCAUGUAGCUUACUCGCUUAGUGCUAUUUUACCUACGCUUAGGAUGUUGACGCGCGUGUGUGCGUG